UCGUACCGAAUCAUUCUCUCUUUGUUCGUAUGUUAGCAAUGUAGGAAGAAGGGGGCAAUCAAUAAUCUGCAACUCUUUCAAUCUGCAUUCGGUAGAAGACAUGAGUUCUCCAAGGCCGUCGAUACGAGUUAAUUUCCCAGCUGCAACUAUCACGAGGAGCUGCAAUGAAUUCAACCCUCCGAGACCCUGGAUCUCUUGCAGAUUAGGACAAUCCCAUAGUACUAAUUCAGUCAAGUUCCCAAGAUCAUUCAGAUUUGGAAACUGAUCCGAUUUUAGACACCGGAUAUGUAGCCUAGUUAGAGAUGAUGGUAGUAGCAUGGUACUGCCAUCACUUUCAGCCAUAAAAA
rnacentral:lncRNA from 1 species